rnacentral:misc_RNA from 1 species
GCCAGCCAUUCGCGAAUUGUUGCUAAGCCUUGACGGUUGCAAAUAAAAUCCUGUUUGUUUAGUGUAGUAUACAUUUGGGCGCGGCAGCAGCGAAAAUCCCAGUCGCCGGAGUCUCUCAAUAAGGAUAUAA